UCAGAAAAGUUACCACAGG
rnacentral:snRNA from 1 species